AUAGAUGGAAUGCAUUGCCUGUCGAGCAACGAGAUGGAAUGAAAAACUAUAUUUCUGAAGUUAUUGUCAAGCUUUCCAGUGAUGAAGCAUCUCUCCGGCGGGAAAGGCUGUAUAUUAGCAAGCUAAACAUAAUUUUGGUUCAGAUUUUGAAGCACGAGUGGCCUGCAAGAUGGCGAAGCUUCAUUCCCGACUUAGUUGCGGCUGCAAAGACAAGCGAAACAAUAUGUGAAAACUGCAUGGCAAUAUUGAAGCUUCUCAGCGAGGAGGUUUUCGAUUUCUCAAGGGGUGAAAUGACUCAACAAAAGAUCAAGGAGCUCAAACAAUCUUUAAACAGCGAGUUUCAACUCAUCCAUGAGCUAUGCUUGUAUGUGCUAUCAGUAUCCCACAGAACUGAGCUCAUCAGGGCGACGCUUGCUACACUGCAUGCUUUCCUUUCAUGGAUUCCGCUUGGCUAUAUUUUUGAAUCAACACUGUUGGAAAUACUGCUUAAAUUUUUCCCAUUGCCAUCUUAUCGCAAUCUCACACUUCAGUGUCUAACAGAGGUUGCUGCCCUUAAUUUUGGGGAUUUUUAUAAUGAACAGUAUAUCAAGAUGUACACCAUAUUCAUGGGGCAGUUGCAGAGUGUUCUUCCACCUAAUACAAGCAUUCCAGAGGCCUAUGCAAAUGGAAGUAACGAAGAACAGGCCUUCAUUCAGAAUCUGGCUCUGUUUUUUACAUCAUUUUUUAAGUCUCAUAUACGUGUGCUAGAAUCAUCACAAGAGAAUAUAGGUGCCCUCUUGGUGGGACUUGAGUAUCUUAUUAAUAUCUCUUAUGUGGAUGAUACAGAAGUUUUUAAGGUUUGCUUGGACUACUGGAAUUCCUUAGUUCUUGAGCUGUUUGAAGCAGCACAUCAUAAUCUUGAUAAUCCUGCAAUGACUACAAACAUGAUGGGCCUUCAGAUGCCACUGCUUUCUGGCAUGAAUGAUGGUCUUGGAGCACAACUUAUGCAGAGGAGACAGCUUUAUUCUGGUCCAAUGUCCAAGUUGAGGUUACUUAUGAUAUCACGCAUGGCAAAACCUGAAGAAGUUCUCAUUGUCGAAGAUGAAAAUGGGAACAUUGUCCGUGAAACAAUGAAGGACAAUGACGUCCUUGUGCAAUACAAGAUCAUGAGGGAAACUCUGAUCUACUUGUCACAUCUUGACCAUGACGAUACUGAAAAGCAGAUGCUGAAGAAACUUAGUAACCAACUCAAUGGUGAGGAUUGGUCAUGGAACAAUCUAAAUACAUUAUGUUGGGCAAUUGGUUCUAUAUCCGGGUCGAUGGUGGAGGAGCAGGAGAACAGAUUUCUUGUCAUGGUGAUACGCGAUUUGCUGAACCUAUGUGAAAUCACGAAAGGAAAAGACAACAAGGCUGUAAUUGCUAGCAAUAUAAUGUAUGUUGUUGGGCAAUAUCCUAGAUUUUUGAGAGCCCAUUGGAAGUUCUUGAAGACUGUUGUGAACAAAUUGUUCGAGUUCAUGCAUGAAACACAUCCU
rnacentral:misc_RNA from 1 species